rnacentral:rRNA from 1 species
ACGCUCGACACCUACGGGGGGCAGCAGUGGGGAAUAUUGCACAAUGGAGGAAACUCUGAUGCAGCGAUGCCGCGUGAGGGAAGAAGGUUUUCGGAUUGUAAACCUCUGUCUUUGGGGACGAUAAUGACGGUACCCAAGGAGGAAGCUCCGGCUAACUACGUGCCAGCAGCCGCGGUAAUCUGAGGCGGGCUGGCAAGGC